GUCCCGCCCCGCCCCCAUCCAGUUAAUCGUACUCACCUCCUUCGGCUGCAAUGCGAUGGCGCAAUUACUGUAUAUAAGUAGUACAUGAUAUAUAUUUAUAUAUUCUGUAUACUAUCGGUGUUUUGUUUGUUUUAAACUCGCCUCUGUUUCUGUGUACCUUCAUAAGCCGAUGCAAAUACUUUUGUAAUUUUCAAUCUUUUAUAAACAAAACGUAGACAAGAAUUCAGCGUUGGCAUUUGGCAGCCUUUUAUACUCUAAAGAAAUUUUUUUUUUUCGCUACUUUGUAAAACAACAGAUAAUAAUAACAAUUGUAUAUGAUGUUCUCCUUAUUAUAUCCCUGUAUAUUUUCGAUUUGAAUAUAAAUAAUGACUAUAUAACUGUUAAAA